rnacentral:ncRNA from 1 species
UUUAGUGUUAAUUUUAAAUUAUUUUAAUAAUGAUUUAUUAUUUAAAUGUAGUAAUUAAUAUUAAUUAUUUAAGAAAUUAAGAAUUAGUAAUAUAUUAAUUAAUAACAAAUUUUGUGCCAGCAGUUGCGGUUAUACAAAAAUUGAAUUAAAUUUUAUUAGUAAUUUAAUAAAUAAUUAAUAAAAAUAUAAUUUAAAUUUUAUAAUAUUAUUAGGUGAAAUUUUAAUUAAAUAAAAAUUAUUUAAUUUUUAUGAUUUAAUAAAUUUUAUUAAAAACUAGGAUUAGAUACCCUAUUAUAAAAAUUUUAAAUUUAAAUACUAAAAUAGUAGAUAAUUAUUUAUUGAAACUUAAAUAAUUUGGCGGUAUUUCAGUUCAUUUAGAGGAAUCUGUUUAUUAAUUGAUAAUCCACGAUUAAAUUUACUUAAUUUAAAAUUUUGUAUAUCGUUGUUAAAAAAAUAUUUUUUAAUAAUAAAUAAUAUUUAAAAAUUAAAAUUUAAAAUUAAAUCAGAUCAAGAUACAGAUUAUAAUUAAGAAUAUAAUGGAUUACAAUAAAUUUAUUUAAAUGGAUAAUAAUUUGUAAUAAUUAUUUGAAAGUGGAUUUAAAUGUAAUUUUAUUUAGUUAAAUAAAAUGAUUAAAAAUUGGAAUAUGUACAUAUUGCCCGUCGCUUUCAUAUAAAAAAAAAAUUGAAAUAAGUCGUAACAAAGUAGAGGUACUGGAAAGUGUUUCUAGAAAGAA